rnacentral:misc_RNA from 1 species
UCGAAUUGGCUAGACUGUGCUGGCUUCGGCAUGUGCACGUCUAAUACAUCCAAUACACCUGUGCAUUAUCGACUUCAAGCCUCUUCGGAGGUGAGGAGUAUUACACACCCUUUUGAUUAGUAUGUGAUAAACCUUGCGCUUUGCGCUAAUAUAAUAA